rnacentral:sRNA from 1 species
GCUGGGCAUGGUGGCUCAUGCCUGUGAUCCCAGCACUUUGGGAGGCCGAGGUGGGUGGAUUACCUGAGGUCAGGAGUUCAAGACCAGCUUGGCCAACAUGGUAAAACCCUGUCUCUACUAAAAAUACAAAAAUUAGGCUGGGAGCAGAGGCUCACGCCUGUAAUCCCAACACUUUGGGAGGCCGAGGCCACCAUGACCAGCUAAUUUUUGCAUUUUCAGCAGAGACGGGGUUUCACCAUGUUGGUCAGGUGGGUCUCGAACUCCUGACCUCAGGUGAUCCACCUGCCCU